GACCUAAGAUGGCGUAGUCUCAGCCUUCUCCGCCCGGGAGGACCAGGGUCCCAGAAAGACUAUAGUUCCCAGCAUGCAGUGAGGAAGCGCAGAGGCGGAGUCUCAGUAAUGCGGUCCUUCCUCGGGGCCGUGGACGACAGCUCCCAGCAUGCUGCGGGGGCCCGGCGCGGCGGGCCAGGCCUUCCCGGGAGACUACAGUUCCCAGCAUGCAGUGCUCGCGGUCAGCACUCGAGCCCUUGCUGUCCGUCCUUGAGGGCGGUGAGGUCUUCUACCUGCAACCCACUUCGCUGCUGCUACGGGUUGUGAAGUGGUACAUCAAUAAAUUCGCUGUAAAUCCUCAGAUAAUAAUACAAGUAGCUCAGAGCUAGAAGACUGAGGAACAGGAGCAUCAGGAGAAAGAGGAUGGCAGCAACCAGAAGAAUCAGGAUAAAUAAGGAUCUGGGAGUGGUAAUGGUUCCCAAGGCACAUGGGAGUGUGCGGAAAUAAAUAGCCAUCACUCUGAAGAGCUGAAGGGUGACAGACAGAAGGAGAGCUCAGAGGACAGGAUUUAGGUUAGUUUGCUGGU